rnacentral:rRNA from 1 species
UACGGAGGGUGCGAGCGUUGUCCGGAAUUAUUGGGCGUAAAGGGCGCGUAGGUGGCCCCUCAAGCGUGCGGUGAAAGUCAGGGGCUCAACCCCUGAUCGGCCGUGCGAACUGGGGAGCUUGAGCACUGUAGAGGCAGGCGGAAUUCCGGGUGUAGCGGUGGAAUGCGUAGAGAUCCGGAAGAACACCGGUGGCGAAGGCGGCCUGCUGGGCAGUUUUGCUGACACUGAGGCGCGACAGCGUGGGGAGCAAACAGGG